GUAGUUCGCUUGUGCUUCGGUGAUU
rnacentral:rRNA from 1 species